rnacentral:lncRNA from 1 species
CGGGAACUCGCCGGAGAAGCGGUUGUUGUAGAGCAUGAUGUUGUUCAGCCGGACGCAGUCGCCGAGGUUCUUCGGGAGCUCGCCGGAGAAGCUGUUGUUGAAGACGACGAUGUCGUAGAGACUCCCGUUGGCGCAGAGUGACUCCGGGAGCCGGCCAGAGAGGUUAUUGUUGCAGACCUCGAGGUUGCCGAGCGGCGAGUGCUUCCCGAGCUCCUGCGGGAGCUCGCCGGAGAGCUUGUUUUCAAAUAGCCGGAUGUCCCUGAGUUUGGGGAGCGUCGCCAUGCUUGCCGGAAUGGUGCCGGUGAGCUGGUUGGUGUACAUGAACAAUAUGAUCAGGUUCUUGAGGUUACCAAUGUC